GAAGAUCAGGGAGGUGUACACCA
rnacentral:miRNA from 1 species